CUAUCCUACGGGAGGCAGCAGUGGGGAAUAUUGCACAAUGGGGGAAACCCUGAUGCAGCAACGCCGCGUGAAGGAAGACGGUUUUCGGAUUGUAAAUUUCUGUUCUUAGUGAAGAAAAAUGACGGUAGCUAAGGAGCAAGCCACGGCUAACUACGUGCCAGCAGCCGCGGUAAUACGUAGGUGGCAAGCGUUGUCCGGAAUUACUGGGUGUAAAGUGAGCGCAGGCGGGAAGCUAAGUCAGCUGUGAAAACUACGGGCUUAACUUGUAGACUGCAGUUGAAACUUGGUUUCUUGAGUGAAGUAGG
rnacentral:rRNA from 1 species